CAGGGAUUGCCCUAGUAACGGCGAGUGAAGCGGCAACAGCUCAAAUUUGAAAUCUGGCUCUUUCAGAGUCCGAGUUGUAAUUUGCAGAGGGCGCUUUGGCGUUGGCAGCGGUCCAAGUUCCUUGGAACAGGACGUCACAGAGGGUGAGAAUCCCGUACGUGGUCGCUGGCCUUCGCCGUGUAAAGCCCCUUCGACGAGUCGAGUUGUUUGGGAAUGCAGCUCUAAAUGGGAGGUAAAUUUCUUCUAAAGCUAAAUACUGGCCAGAGACCGAUAGCGCACAAGUAGAGUGAUCGAAAGAUGAAAAGCACUUUGGAAAGAGAGUCAAAUAGCACGUGAAAUUGUUGAAAGGGAAGCGCUUGCAGCCAGACUUGCCUGUAGUUGCUCAUCCGGGCUCUCGCCCGGUGCACUCUUCUACAGGCAGGCCAGCAUCAGUUUGGGCGGUUGGAUAAAGGUCUCUGUCACGUACCUCCUCUCGGGGAGGCCUUAUAGGGGAGACGACAUGCAACCAGCCUGGACUGAGGUCCGCGCAAUUGCUAGGAUGCUGGCGUAAUGGCUGUAAGCGGCCCGUCUUGAAACACGGACCAAGGAGUCUAACAUCUAUGCGAGUGUUUGGGUGUCAAGCCCGAGCGCGCAAUGAAAGUGAACGGAGGUGGGAACCCUUUUGGGGUGCACCAUCGACCGAUCCUGAUGUCUUCGGAUGGAUUUGAGUAAGAGCAUGGCUGUUGGGACCCGAAAGAUGGUGAACUAUGCUUGAAUAGGGUGAAGCCAGAGGAAACUCUGGUGGAGGCUCGCAGCGGUUCUGACGUGCAGAUCGAUCGUCAAAUUUGGGCAUAGGGGCGAAAGACUAAUCAAGAAAUCUAGUAGCUGGUUCCUGCCGAAGUUUCCC
rnacentral:rRNA from 1 species